rnacentral:sRNA from 1 species
GCCAGGCAUGGUAGCGUACACCUGUAAUCCCAGAGACUCAGGAGGCUGAGGUAGGAGGAUUGCAAGUUGAAGGCCCUAGAUCCUAUCUCAA